CUCGGUUGCGGUCCACCCGUGGGCCGCUUCCGUUUCAACAUACCACAACCAGUCUCGGAUGUCAACAAACUAUACAAAUAACAACUUUUAACAACGGAUCUCUUGGCUCUCGCAUCGAUGAAGAACGCAGCGAAAUGCGAUAAGUAAUGUGAAUUGCAGAAUUCAGUGAAUCAUCGAAUCUUUGAACGCAUCUUGCGCUCCUUGGUAUUCCAUGGAGCAUGCCUGUUUCAGUGUCACGUAAACCCUCACACUUGUGAUGUCAAAGUCACGAGUUGUGGAUUUGGACCGUACCGUCAAUGGCUCGUCCUGAAAUGCAUUAGCUUGCGCUUGUUAGAUUGCUUGGCACGGUGUGAUAAUUAUCUGCGCCCUCGCCUUAGGCCUCUUCUAAAUGUGCUGCUUCCAAUCGUCUCUACGGACAAAUAAUCAAACUUUGGCCUGAAAUCAGGUAGGACUACCCGCUGAACUUAAGCAUAUCAAUAAGCGGAGGA
rnacentral:rRNA from 1 species